rnacentral:rRNA from 1 species
CUACGGGAGGCUGCCGUGGGGAAUAUUGCACAAUGGGCGCAAGCCUGAUGCAGCCAUGCCGCGUGUAUGAGGAAGGCCUUCGGGUUGUAAAGUACUUUCAGCGGGGAGGAAGGGAGUAAAGUUAAUACCUUUGCUCAUUGACGUUACCCGCAGAAGAAGCACCGGCUAACUCCGUGCCAGCAGCCGCGGUAAUACGGAGGGUGCAAGCGUUAAUCGGAAUUACUGGGCGUAAAGCGCACGCAGGCGGUUUGUUAAGUCAGAUGUGAAAUCCCCGGGCUCAACCCGGGAACUGCAUCGGAUACUGGCAAGCUUGAGUCUCGUAGAGGGGGGUAGAAUUCCAGGUGUAGCGGUGAAAUGCGUAGAGAUCUGGAGGAAUACCGGUGGCGAAGGCGGCCCCCUGGACGAAGACUGACGCUCAGGUGCGAAAGCGUGGGGAGCAAACAGGAUUAGAUACCCGUGUAGUC